rnacentral:lncRNA from 1 species
UAAUGCUUAGAUCUCGCUAAACAAUUGUCAUGUGUCAUCAAAGUCUAUAAUUACCAUGAUGUACAAUCAUAUAAGGUUGAAAUAGGCUUUAUCCAAUAAAUACUUUGUUAUAAAAUUAAAAUAAACAUGAUAACAAAAAAAAAAAAAGCAAUUUGAGAUACUAAAUUAAACUAAAAAAUACAUUUCGUUACUUUAGUUUUAUUUUCGUUUGCC